UUAUUAUGAGAGUUUGAUCCUGGCUCAGGACGAACGCUGGCGGCGUGCCUAAUACAUGCAAGUCGAACGCUUCUUUCCUCCCGAGUGCUUGCACUCAAUUGGAAAGAGGAGUGGCGGACGGGUGAGUAACACGUGGGUAACCUACCCAUCAGAGGGGGAUAACACUUGGAAACAGGUGCUAAUACCGCAUAACAGUUUAUGCCGCAUGGCAUAAGAGUGAAAGGCGCUUUCGGGUGUCGCUGAUGGAUGGACCCGCGGUGCAUUAGCUAGUUGGUGAGGUAACGGCUCACCAAGGCCACGAUGCAUAGCCGACCUGAGAGGGUGAUCGGCCACACUGGGACUGAGACACGGCCCAGACUCCUACGGGAGGCAGCAGUAGGGAAUCUUCGGCAAUGGACGAAAGUCUGACCGAGCAACGCCGCGUGAGUGAAGAAGGUUUUCGGAUCGUAAAACUCUGUUGUU
rnacentral:rRNA from 1 species